CCUACGGGCAGCAGCAGUGGGGAAUAUUGGGCAAUGGGCGCAAGCCUGACCCAGCAACGCCGCGUGAAGGAAGAAGGCUUUCGGGUUGUAAACUUCUUUUCUGAGGGACGAAGAAAGUGACGGUACCACAGGAAUAAGCCACGGCUAACUACGUGCCAGCAGCCGCGGUACUACGUAGGUGGCAAGCGUUAUCCGGAUUUAUUGGGUGUAAAGGGCGUGGAGGCGGGAAAGCAAGUCAGAUGUGAAAACUCAGGGCUCAACCCUGAGCCUGCAUUUGAAACUGUUUUUCUUGAGUGCUGGAGAGGCAAGCAGAAUUCCGUGUGUAGCGGUGAAAUGCGUAGAUAUACGGAGGAACACCAGUGGCGAAGGCGGAUUGCUGGACAGUAACUGACGCUGAGGCGCGAAAGCGUGGGGAGCAAACAGGAUUAGAUACCCGUGUAGUC
rnacentral:rRNA from 1 species